rnacentral:lncRNA from 10 species
CUUUAACAGAGUAACUGGAUUGGCCAAGGUCUGAUUCAAGAGGCUGUGAGGAGAGUAGAGAACAAAUAGACUUUGCCUCUCAGAGUUCAGAGCUUUAAGUUGUAUAAGCAUGGUCCAUGUCCACCUCUUGUAGACACUUAUUCCUUAAAAGUUUCCAUCAUGAAAAAUAAUAUCAUGUCAAAAUUUUAUAAGCACCCAGAAUGUCCCAGUAGUCAAAUGUAGUGUCUUUCUCCAGUCUCUGUUUUCGAUAAUAAAUACCUUGCUCUCAAUUUAGGAUGAUCGUAAAGCCUAUGUUCAUGCUGUGAGUCAUUGUCUCCCACAGCUUUUGAAACAUCGUUCUUUGUCUUUUCUAUACAACACCUGAUUCUUUGUGCCUCAGACUCAUUGCUAUCAGGAAGAGACUUUGCCAAGAUCCACCACCACAUUUGGCCAGUAGUGUAUACACAUUAAAGUGAGAGCUGAUGAAAUCACAAUGCUCUAUUUUGUUCCGACAAUCAGUAUGAAGGGGUAGGUCCCAGUUUGCCAAUGAGCAACAGCCUCUGUAUGCUGGUGUCCAAGACUUACACAAAACAAGUGUCAGUGCAGUCACAGCAUUUUCUUGAAUGCUGUUGUGACAGACUCCAGUUAUAAACAUCUGCGAGCCAUAUGGCACAACUCAUAGCUAAAGAGGCCGGUACAGGGCACAUGCACAGAGCUUUGAAGAACAUACACAAACCUGUUGAAUCAAGUUACUUUCCUCAUCCUCAGAGACUUUGACAAUUCAGAGCUCACAGAUGGCAGGGGGAAUUCUCAGGCUUCCCUUCCUCCUGAUUGACACUUUUUAAAGGAAGUGAUGUGGAAGUUGUUCUAGAAGUUAGAUGGACAGUGGGAGCACAUUCGUGAGUGGGGCUUGGGAGAGCUCAAAAGUGGCACUUUGAUUUUAGGCUGGGCAGGCAGAAGUCUCACAGUAAAAUAUAUUUCACUAGACGUCCAAACCAACACUGCAUUGUAGUAACCUCUUCUGAAGUAACUGGUUAAAUUAAUAACUGGUCCCAUAAGUCAGGGUCAAGCCACAUUUAUAACCCAUUCGGGCCGGCCAUGAAGGGUUCUGACUCGACAUUGGUAUUUAAAUGCUGUUACUUUCCCAAUGCUUAGUAGCACUUGAGACUUUAUUUCCAUCGACAAAAACUAAGAAGGCCACAGAAGUAGCCUAACAGUCCUCCCUGGUCAUACUCGUUUCAAACAGGUCUGCCUGUCUAGACAUAUUCAGGCAGGAGGUUGCUUGCUGCUAUCUUGAAAACCACUGGAAGAUUCAGCUUCUUGGGGACCUCAGAGCCCAUAUUCAUAUGGAAGCCCACCCAUAUAAGCCUCACAGAGCAAAUCACAGCAAUGUUGAAGUUGUUAUUUUCAAGUGCUUAUUUCACGACAUUAAAAAAAAUAUUUUUUCCUGGUGUAUUAAAAUUAAAAAUAAAAUCAUAACUUUUGAUUUAAAAUCAAA